rnacentral:rRNA from 1 species
CAGGUACAGAGGGGUGCUACCGGGUGACCGGAUGCCGAUCUCGAAAACCUGUCCCAGUUCGGACUGGAGUCUGCAACCCGACUCCACGAAGUUGGAUUCGCUAGUAAUCGCGCAUCAGCCAUGGCGCGGUGAAUACGUUCCCGGGCCUUGUACACACCGCCCGUCAAGCCAUGGGAGCCGGGGGCGCCUGAAGUCCGGGACCGCGAGGACCGGCCUAGGGCGAAACUGGUGACUGGGGCUAAGUCGUAACAAGGUACC